CACAUCGACGGGGAGGUUUGGCACCUCGAUGUCGGCUCAUCGCAUCCUGGGGCUGUAGUCGGUCCCAAGGGUUGGGCUGUUCGCCCAUUAAAGCGGUACGCGAGCUGGGUUCAGAACGUCGUGAGACAGUUCGGUCCCUAUCCGUCGCGGGCGUAGGAAAUUUGAGAGGACCUGUCCUUAGUACGAGAGGACCGGGAUGGACAUACCGCUGGUGUACCAGUUGUUCCGCCAGGAGCAUCGCUGGGUAGCUAUGUAUGGAUGAGAUAAAYGCUGAAAGCAUCUAAGUGUGAAACUCGCCUCAAGAUGAGAUUUCCCAUUCCUUUGGAAGUAAGACCCCACAGAGAUGAUGUGGUAGAUAGGAUGGAAGUGGAAGUGCGGUGACGCAUGGAGCGGACCAUUACUAAUCGGUCGAGGACUUAACCAAG
rnacentral:rRNA from 2 species